CCAAUAGCGUAUAUUAAAGUUGUUGCAGUUAAAAAGCUCGUAGUUGAAUUUCGGGAUCAAUAUGUUGGUCGUGCCUUGGUACGUACUGGCGUCAUUGGUUUCUACCUUCUGAAGAACCUCGAUGUCAUUAAUUUGGUGUCUUGGGGAAUCAGGACUGUUACUUUGAAAAAAUUAGAGUGUUUAAAGCAAGCUCACGCUUGAAUACAUUAGCAUGGAAUAAUGAAAUAGGACGUUUGAUUCUAUUUUGUUGGUUUCUAGGAUCGACGUAAUGAUUAAUAGGGAUAGUUGGGGGGAUUAGUAUUCAAUUGUCAGAGGUGAAAUUCUUGGAUUUAUUGAAGACUAACUACUGCGAAAGCAUUUGCCAAGGAUGUUUUCAUUAAUCAAGAACGAAAGUUAGGGGAUCGAAGACGAUCAGAUACCGUCGUAGUCUUAACCAUAAACUAUGCCGACUAGGGAUCGGAUGAUGUUAAUUUUUUAAUGACUCAUUCGGCGCCUUACG
rnacentral:misc_RNA from 1 species